AGCCUGGCCUCAGGGCGUUGAUUCCUGGCCGGUCACCUUGUGUCAGGGGUGGAACCUUGCGGUUUUGGUUCAGCCGACGGGGAAACGUCGGCCAGACCUGUGUUCGUUUUACCGUAACGCGGUGGUCAGGCAGGUGGGCUCCAGGCAGUGGGUCGGGACCCCGAGGAGACACGGGACCCCGUGCCGAGCUCCACAGGCCUGGAGGGGAGACGACACGCACACGGGGCUAGAGGACGAGGUGGGACAAGGACAGAGGAGGAAGCCGGUCACCUCCAAGCCACGGAGAGAGGCCCUGACAGCCACAGAAGGAACCCACCCUGCCAACACUUUGAUUUUGGACUUCUCGCCCCCAGAACUGUGAGGCACUACAUUUCUGUUGUUGAAGCCACUCAGGUUAUGGUGUGAGAAUCCCAUGAGACUGUACACAGAGCCCAUGGCACCGUCCCCCGGCUCUGGACAAGUGGCGGUGUUAUGCCCAGAGUUGUUGCUGCUGCCAGGACCCCAAGGAACGACCACUCAGGCAAACUUGAACGAGACUGUCCUUGAGGGUUCUUGGUGCACACAACGGAAGCUAGCUCUGCCGUGUGGAGUAGGAAGGGGGUUUAAAAAGACACUGGGGAGCUCGUGGCUACCCAGGUUGUUGGGGGGGCCUGGAGAACUCAGUCUAAGUUUCCAGUGACAAAGCCCCCAGCCCCCAGUAGGAAAACACCCUGCCACC